rnacentral:rRNA from 1 species
GACGAACGCUGGCGGCGUGCUUAACACAUGCAAGUCGAACGGAAAGGCCCUGCUUUUGUGGGGUGCUCGAGUGGCGAACGGGUGAGUAACACGUGAGUAACCUGCCCUUGACUUUGGGAUAACUUCAGGAAAUUGGGGCUAAUACCGGAUAGGAGCUCCUGCUGCAUGGUGGGGGUUGGAAAGUUUCGGCGGUUGGGGAUGGACUCGCGGCUUAUCAGCUUGUUGGUGGGGUAGUGGCUUACCAAGGCUUUGACGGGUAGCCGGCCUGAGAGGGUGACCGGCCACAUUGGGACUGAGAUACGGCCCAGACUCCUACGGGAGGCAGCAGUGGGGAAUAUUGCACAAUGGGCGGAAGCCUGAUGCAGCAACGCCGCGUGCGGGAGGACGGCCUUCGGGUGGUAAACCGCUUUCGCCUGUGACGAAGCGUGAGUGACGGUAAUGGGGAAAGAAGCACCGGCUAACUACGU